rnacentral:tRNA from 1 species
CCUGGUGUCUCAGAUGGUAAAGAACCUGCCUACAAUGCAGGAGACCUGGGUUUGAUCCCUGGGUCAGGA